UACGUAGGGUGCAAGCGUUAUCCGGAAUUAUUGGGCGUAAAGAGCUCGUAGGCGGUUUGUCGCGUCUGCUGUGAAAACUGGAGGCUCAACCUCCAGCCUGCAGUGGGUACGGGCAGACUAGAGUGCGGUAGGGGAGAUUGGAAUUCCUGGUGUAGCGGUGGAAUGCGCAGGAUAUCAGGAGGAACACCGAUGGCGAAGGCAGA
rnacentral:rRNA from 1 species